rnacentral:lncRNA from 1 species
AGUAAAGGUAUGGAAGAGAUUUUAAGAAGUACUGAUGUAGAGCAUAAAGAAAAAGGUAUUAUUGAAGGAACAAGAAGGAAGCAAUCUGUCUAACUAGAGAGAUUAAGGAAGCCUUCUUAGAAGAAGGGAUAAUAUGCUUACUACCUGGGUAACAAAAUAAUCUGUACACCAAACCACUGUGACAUAGUUAAGGUAUUUGUGGCAUAGCUGGCAUUUUUCACAUCUCAAUUUUAUCAAAUCCUCACAUUAACUUUAUGAAAUAGUUGUUAUUAUACCCAUUGCACAAAUGAGAAAACUGAAACUCAGAAAGGUCAAGUAACUUGCCAAAGAUCACAAAAGAAUGGAAGUCAGACCUCUUUCUGUCCCUUCUCAGGAAAGAUGUUUCUUGAUGAUUGAGGAAACUUCUAGAAGUAGAGUUUCCCAAAGUGGCAUUAAAGCAUGGCUUUACAUGAUUGAGGCCAAUUGUUAAGCAAGCAAAACAUGUUCUGCCAAAUGGAUAUAGUCCUGUGAAUUCAGGGAUCUAGAAUGCUGAAGGGGAUACUGAGUCAGAUCAAGAUAAAAUCCUUCAUCCACUUUCACCCAAUGAAGAGGGUUUGUGCAAAUCCUAUGUUAAUAGAUUCCUUUGACCAAUUCCUUUGACCAAUUCACUUGGCAGGUUUUACAUUUGAAAGACUGACAGCUUCCCUCAGCCUUUCUCAGGGGGCCCUGCGGAGGGUCUGGAAAC